CUGCAUCUGAUAGACCUUUGAACAAUUUGCUGUUGUUCUUUUGGUUUGCACUAGGAUGCAAAAGAAAAUAAUUGUGUGCUUUCUGUCUUUGCAGCAGUCCACAUUGAGUUGGGGAAUACAUCU
ensembl:snoRNA